CCUUCUGACUCUGUGCCUCAAAAUCAUCUGUGUCACAUCAAAUCAGAUUUACUAAAGUGAGAUUAAGAGCAGUGCUGAUCUGACAGUGGUGAUUUUGUUGUGCACCUGGCUGUUAUGUUUCUUCAAGUAGCUAUUUUCUUUUCCAGUCACUUACUUUGAGACAUAUCCAAACUGAAAAAAGAUGUGAGUGCUCUUAGAGAACAUUGUAUCAUUUGUCCUUUUAACACCAUUUAUUACACUAAACUGUCAUCAUCAAUGGCAAUAUUAGAUAUGUUCUGAACACAAAGAAACGUCAGUAUUAACUUCAAGUGGGCGUGUUUACAAGUCUUAAAGGUGUUUUUUUCUAUUCGGAGAUGCUGCAUAUGUAGUGAUCUAAUACAACAAUGUACUAUAUACAUUGAUUGGUGUGUAUGGGUGGUUUUCUUUGUUUUGUAAUUGUUAAAUCGUUUAAAUCACUGCGAUACACACAAGCCGUGUGCUAAAUGAUUUGCAAGCUUUGAAAAAGUUUUAACAUACAUCAGAAAAAUGUUCCAAUUAUUAAAGUAGUCUCUCAAUUUGUUUUACCACAGGAAGCUUGUCAUAACUGUCAAGGGAAUUUGGUUCACUUUACAAUAACUAGUCACCUGCUUUCCAUUGCACGCUCACUGUUGUCCCAUAACCUGCGAAGACUCAACACGUACCGCACAAUGCAAUUUAUCGGGCAGAUCUGUUAAUAAACAAAGGCGUGUGUUUGACGGUUUCAGCUUCUAAUCCGAGAUCUGAAUCCUGGAAUACGAACUACUGAAUCUUUGAAAUUCUUAACUGCACAGUAAACAUGCAUCCCGAUGCUUUCAUAGCGAAUGACAACGCGCGCAUUCAGUCGGGCUCCACGUCCGCUGAAACAACCAACACGUGCAUCUUAACGCCCAGGUGAACCUGAAAACCUUCCACUGUAUCUGCAUAUCGGGAUGUGUCUGGAAGCUUUAAGGUAGGACUGACGCUCAAUACGAGAUGCUUUCUUUGUCCUUAAAAACCAAUGGGCAGGGCAGUUAUCUUCAGGUAAAGCACAUCGACGUAAAACUGCAGGAUAGUUAGUUUUAUGAUGACGUGCAAAUUACAGAUAAGCAAGCAAAGGUAAACGACAUUUAGCACAAGAAUCUUCUUUGAGCAAGUUAAUGUUUCGUAAUACUGAAACUGCUCGUCUUUCCGGGACAAUCAUUGCGUUUUGCUACGGCCUCGUUAAUCAGUCUUUCUAGUCAAAUGGUUUCACGCGCUCGUCUAGCGAAGCGCUCCCCCAGGUUUUCACCGGCUAUGCUUCUUUUUUUUCUCAACAGGCAAAUAGAAGAAUCGGGAGAAGGCACAGGAGUUAACAGCCCGACAAAGACACGCAGCCCAAUGCCCAAGAGGCAGCCAGCAGACGGCGAUGACAGCACCUGAGCGCAGGAUGCAAAAUGCAAUUUGCACGUGCAUUGUGAUCUAAUCAUGGAGACAAAACUGGAUCAUCCAUAGAGAUGGAAAUGUAUGAUUUUUUGGAAGUCUGCUGCGAGUGCAUUCGAGAUUCAUUACCGCAUUAUUAUUUUCACAGUUUAUAAACCUCUAAAUAAGAAGUUAUGUAUGGUUGGUGAGCACUUCAUUCCUGCAGUCUUUUUCUUAUCAAGGGUUGAUGAAUUUGUAACAUGUUAUCAAGUGAUGCCUGACUGCUGACACACAAGAUUUUAUCAGCAGAUUAAGAACUCUGAUAACCAGGAAGUCUUUGAACCAGGAAGUGUUUGAAUGAAUCUUUAUACCUUUAAACUCAUAGCAUCACAGAAAACAGCAAACAUAUUCUGCUUUACAAUGUGUGUGCAAUCUCCCAACACUGAUCAAUAUUCGAGAAUAUUCUUGGCUUGAAAAUGAGACAUUUGGAUAAAAGACAGACUGGAUGCUGCCACCAUCCACAAGAAGGUCAUGGAUGGUGUGAUCUCUGAGUAUAGUUCCAGUGAAACUGCCAGGCAAGGCACACCAUCCUAGAAAUUAUUGCCAGUGGGACGUCGGAUAAUACGGAAUGUUGGAUAAGCGAAG